UUUAUGACCUGUACCUUGUGAUAUCAACCCUGCCAACCUCCUGUCUCAUCCUGAGACUAAGAAUGCCUAAACUCCCGGGAACGCAGCUCAGUAGGUCUCACCUUGUUUCAUCCAGCCCCUAUUCAAGAUGGAGUUACUCUGGUUCAAACGCCUCUGACAGAGGUGAAAUGUCCAGCUGUUAAGUGAAUUGGUAUGGUAUGGUGGCUAGUUCCAAAUGAAAUGGCUAAGCUUCACCCCUUUGAACACUCAACUUCUCAGGGAGUGAAAAUGCUGGAACUAGGAUUUGCAGAUCCAGAGACUAAAACGUGACUUUAAAUCAGACUGACUGCAUCUGCCCAUUUUGAUGGUGAAGACCCCGUGGGAAAGACUUUUUGAUAAAUGAACAGGCAUUAGUCUUAUGACAUUUCUCCAACAUCCUGCAGUCAUCUUGAUGGCCACACCUCACUUUUCUUUACUGUCUGCUACUCCUUUGCUUCACUAAAAGCAGAAAAGGUGAAUAAUUUUCAUUCCAAGUGUUGCUGGGUUAGGGUCUCCCCGACCAAGCUGGUCUCGGCCAGUGGCGUCCAUUUUUGGGGGCUCAAAUCCAGGUCGAAGGGUCACUGGAGCGACGGUUGGAGAAUGUGGAACUAGCUGGAAGACACCCGAGUACUCUUAAAGCAAUCCCUGUGAUGGGCCUAGCAAUGGUAAAGCUUCUUAUUCUGGAUCAAAAAGCAAAGUUUUCCAGAUGCCCUAUACUUCAGCUCAAAAAUUGGAGCUUGUAGCUGUAAUUGAGAUGUGGAUCCUGACUCCUGUGAGAAGUAGCUCACCGUGACAAAGCUGCCUUUGCUUUUAUUGAUUUGCAAACCAAAGAAGGGGGACAUGUUGGGAACAAGCCCCCCCUCCCCAAAAAUCUGGCCAUAAACUGGCCCCAAAACUGGCCAUAAA
rnacentral:lncRNA from 10 species